AUUUUUUGUAAGAGAUCUGGAGGUACU
rnacentral:piRNA from 1 species